rnacentral:rRNA from 1 species
UACGAAGGGGGCUAGCGUUGUUCGGAAUCACUGGGCGUAAAGGGCGCGUAGGCGGCCGAUCAAGUCGGGGGUGAAAGCCUGUGGCUCAACCACAGAAUUGCCCUUCGAUACUGUUUGGCUUGAGACCGGAAGAGGUUAGUGGAACUGCGAGUGUAGAGGUGAAAUUCGUAGAUAUCGCAAGAACACCAGUGGCGAAGGCGGCCUGCUGGGCAGUUGCUGACACUGAGGCGCGACAGCGUGGGGAGCAAACAGG